ACGGAAGGUCCGGGCGUUAUCCGGAUUUAUUGGGUUUAAAGGGAGCGUAGGCCGGAGAUUAAGCGUGUUGUGAAAUGUAUAUGCUCAACAUCUGCACUGCAGCGCGAACUGGUUUCCUUGAGUACGCACAAAGUGGGCGGAAUUCGUGGUGUAGCGGUGAAAUGCUUAGAUAUCACGAAGAACUCCGAUUGCGAAGGCAGCUCACUGGAGCGCAACUGACGCUGAAGCUCGAAAGUGCGGGUAUCGAACAG
rnacentral:rRNA from 1 species